UACGUAGGGUGCAAGCGUUAAUCGGAAUUACUAGGCGUAAAGCGUGCGCAGGCGGUUUUGUAAGUCAGAUGUGAAAUCCCCGGGCUUAACCUGGGAACUGCGUUUGAAACUACAAGGCUGGAGUGUGGCAGAGGGGGGUGGAAUUCCGCGUGUAGCAGUGAAAUGCGUAGAGAUGCGGAGGAACACCGAUGGCGAAGGCAGCCCCCUGGGCUAGCACUGACGCUCAGGCACGAAAGCGUGGGGAGCAAACAGG
rnacentral:rRNA from 1 species